AUUUAGCAACCACUCAAAAGAAAAUUUUCUCAAAAUCGUUGCCAUUGAAAAAAUAAAAUUAGUAUAUUGCAAUGCCAAAUAAAUCGUUACAAUAGAAUCAAAAUUUCGUUAAAAUUUUUGGAAAGAGUAUAAAAAGAACGGUUUAUAGCAAUAUUACUAGAGAGCGUUGCCAUAGAUGAUAUUUUUUGGGCCAAAUAAUUGGCGGGCCAUUUAAAAUAUGAGGGCGGGAUGUAUGAAAUGUUUUUCUGUCCUUUAUCAAAAUUAAGAAAAUAAAAAACACUCACAAACACUCUCUCAAUCUCACCUCACAAACACUCUGACCGGCGAAAACAAGACGAGAGAGAGAGAGUGCGAUAGAGAGAGAUGGCGAUAGAGAGACAGGAAGAAGAAAAGAGAGAAGAAGAUCAGAGAGGGUGGAGAAGCACGCCAUAUUCCACUUCUUUCCCCAAUAGGUGUAAGUAUGUAAGGGUUUUUAUGUGUGUUUAAUUGGUUUGGUAUACGUGUUUAAUUGAGUUUGUAAAAAUUUUUAAUUGAUUUUUUGUUGUUAAUUUGGUCUUAUACUUGUUAAUUAAUUAAGGAUUUAUGUUCUUAAUUAGGUAUUAGAUUUGUUUAACUUAGGGUUCAUAGUUUAGUUUAUGGGUUGUGUUCAUUUGUUAAUUUAGGGAUUAAAUUAAGAGUUCUUGUGUUGAUGUGCUCUGUUCAUCAUGUCUUAUAAUUGUAAGUCGCUGCUAGUAAUGAUGCUACAUCGGAAAAGAUUGAUUGCUGAGUACUAAAUCAAGACUUGGUUCAACGCCAGCCUGCUCACAAAACCAGAAGGAAUGGAUGAAAUGAACACAAGAAAAGCCGAUAAUAAUGUCAAGAAAGAGGAAUUGAAGUCUAAUACUUUAGAGGAAUGUGGUCUGAGUUUCCAGAAGACUACUCACUUGAAACAACACAUGCAAAGCCAUUUAGUUGAGGUGCCGAAGACAAUCUACCAAAUUGUUUUUGAAGGACUUGCUCUGCACCAGCUUUCAAUAAUCUAAUUAGGUGCUUUGCUGGUUUCUGCAGAAGCCUCAACAGAUGGACCUGUUGGAAUAAUCGAUGAUGAUGGGCUAGAUAUGACAAGUCUUUUGUUACUGAUUUUUUGUUGAUAAAAAAUUUGUUGUAAUAAUAUAUUAGGGUAUUUUAUUUAAAUUCCUAGAUUGAGGAAUGUUUGUACUAAUGUCAGUAACAAUAAUAAUGCUCUUGGUUGUUGUUGUAUAGGCAUGGUUAGAUUUGUGGUAGGUAACGUUCUUAGUUUUGUUUUUGGGAUGUUCUUGGAAUGACCCUUUAAUGGUGGAUUAAUAUAUUUAUGAAAUGGUCAUGUCAAUUUUUAUUAUUCA